GUAACAGCUUUGAGACAAAAAUUUACAUUGAUUCCUUAAUUAUGAAGAGGAAAGGCUCGUUCAUUUACCGCCACGCUUUGUCUGAGUCUGAGAUUGUGCGCGUCGUAGAGUAUAUAGAAUAACAUUGAUAUCAUCAGAGCCCUCUGUUGAGGAAGGCUGUCUAGGCAGUUUCAAGUGCAUUUAAUAAUGCCUCAUGUUAUGUGUUCUAUAUUAAUUUCAUUGUUAAAAGUGCAAGCCUUUUUUCUUCCCACGCCGGUAUCGGGCUAAAAAUGGGGUCAUAUCGGCGCUUAGAAUGAAAAAGAAAGAGAAGUGCAAGGAGGUCGUGGGACAAUGAAUACGAGACGGGGCCGCCAUUCCUAGCUUCACAUUGUGUUAUUGCAAGUGAAUCUGCAGCUCUCUUUUAUUUAAAAAUGAUUGAUCUUAAUAAGAAGAAAGUUGAAAUAAGAAAAAAUGCAAGGCAAGAUUUUUGCAGCGGGAGACCUUGCUCUUUUUUGUACAUUGGAGACUCAAUUGUGUUGUUACUGGCCAUGCAUUUUGUAAAGUUAUCAGAGUUCAUUGACUUUUUUUUGUAUUUCAACCUUUAUCUAUUAUACAGUCUGUAUUAAUUAUUCUUAAUUAACUACAAGUCCUAGUAGCUGAAGCUAAUCGUUUUUAUACCCUUCAAAUCAUAUCUAAUUGGAGCAUAAAUAUUUUUGCACCAUUAUUACACGUUUUGUUGCGAUUUUUUUCAUUCAACUCUAUAUAAAGAUGGAAUCCUUCGUGAAUAAUUUGUAAAAUCAUGUAAUGGGAGUUAUAUCAAUUUGUGAAGCUAAUAAGACCUGUCUAUUUGAGCUUUAAGUUUUUAAACAAUCACUUCUGAGUGUAAAUUUCGUGACUUAAAAGUAAUAAAACGUAAUUUUUUAAAGAAACCCUUGAAUAAAAGUUCAAUCGGACAUUAUGCAUGUAUAUAUUAUAAGUGUACCUGGUACAUGAAUACAUCGCCAAUCAUCAUCUUAAAGAAGCAAGAUCUGAAGUAGUAUACAUUCAUAGUAAUUAUUUGAAGUGAUAGUUACUGUUAAUGUAAUUACCAAUGUUUAUUAUAUCAUCUAAAGAUGAUAUAAUGAGAAGAUAAUCUUCUGAUUAUUUUUCCGUUCUGGAGCAGUUUAUUUGAUCCAUUGUGCGAAUCAUGAUCACAGCUGGUAUUGGAAACGGGAAGACAACUCCAAAUUUUCUAUAACUCCCAUUCGUCCCCCUUUCAGUUAAAUACAUUUAUGGUCCUUUAUAUAUAUUACCAAGAGGCUUAAGACGGCUAUUGGAGUCUAUAUUAAUAUAUUUUUCUUUCGUUGGAUAGAAUAGAUAAAACCCUGUCAAAUUAUGUGGUAAUUGAAAAAUGAAAUAUCUGUUCUAAAUUAUAUGUCAACGGAAAUUGAGUAUAAAAUCUAAGAAAACAAAAAAUAUUUUUUUCUCCCUCAAAAUAAUUUUAUUUCCUAGUAAUAGUUUAUAAAUAUUGCAAUGCGAUUUUAUUGAUAAGUAUUUGUUGUUUACUCUUAUCAAAAUUAGCUAAGAAAUUGCAAUUGUAAUGUUCCUUUUUUGCGUAUUAUACGUAAAAAUUACAUAAAUAUAAUUAUUUUUCUCAA
rnacentral:lncRNA from 1 species